rnacentral:rRNA from 1 species
GGUUAAGCGACUAAGCGUACACGGUGGAUGCCCUGGCAGUCAGAGGCGAUGAAGGACGUGCUAAUCUGCGAAAAGCGCCGGCGAGGUGAUAUGAACCUUUGACCCGGCGAUGUCCGAAUGGGGAAACCCAGUGCAAUCCGUUGCACUAUCGUUAACUGAAUACAUAGGUUAACGAGGCGAACCGGGGGAACUGAAACAUCUAAGUACCCCGAGGAAAAGAAAUCAACCGAGAUUCCCCCAGUAGCGGCGAGCGAACGGGGAGCAGCCCGGAGUCUGAAUCAGCUUGUGUGUUAGUGGAACGGUCUGGAAAGUCCGACGGUACAGGGUGAUAGUCCCGUACACGAAAGCACACAUGCUGUGAACUCGAAGAGUAGGGCGGGACACGUGGUAUCCUGUCUGAAUAUGGGGGGACCAUCCUCCAAGGCUAAAUACUCCUGACUGACCGAUAGUGAACCAGUACCGUGAGGGAAAGGCGAAAAGAACCCCGGCGAGGGGAGUGAAAAAGAACCUGAAACCGUGUACGUACAAGCAGUGGGAGCCUCUUUAUGGGGUGACUGCGUACCUUUUGUAUAAUGGGUCAGCGACUUAUAUUCUGUAGCAAGGUUAACCGUAUAGGGGAGCCGAAGGGAAACCGAGUCUUAACUGGGCGUUAAGUUGCAGGGUAUAGACCCGAAACCCGGUGAUCUAGCCAUGGGCAGGUUGAAGGUUGGGUAACACUAACUGGAGGACCGAACCGACUAAUGUUGAAAAAUUAGCGGAUGACCUGUGGCUGGGGGUGAAAGGCCAAUCAAACCGGGAGAUAGCUGGUUCUCCCCGAAAGCUAUUUAGGUAGCGCCUCGUGAACUCAUCUUCGGGGGUAGAGCACUGUUUCGGCUAGGGGGCCAUCCCGGCUUACCAACCCGAUGCAAACUACGAAUACCGAAGAAUGUUAUCACGGGAGACACACGGCGGGUGCUAACGUCCGUCGUGAAGAGGGAAACAACCCAGACCGCCAGCUAAGGUCCCAAAGUCAUGGUUAAGUGGGAAACGAUGUGGGAAGGCACAGACAGCCAGGAUGUUGGCUUAGAAGCAGCCAUCAUUUAAAGAAAGCGUAAUAGCUCACUGGUCGAGUCGGCCUGCGCGGAAGAUGUAACGGGGCUAAACCAUGCACCGAAGCUGCGGCAGCGACACUAUGUGUUGUUGGGUAGGGGAGCGUUCUGUAAGCCGUUGAAGGUGUGCUGUGAGGCAUGCUGGAGGUAUCAGAAGUGCGAAUGCUGACAUAAGUAACGAUAAAGCGGGUGAAAAGCCCGCUCGCCGGAAGACCAAGGGUUCCUGUCCAACGUUAAUCGGGGCAGGGUGAGUCGACCCCUAAGGCGAGGCCGAAAGGCGUAGUCGAUGGGAAACAGGUUAAUAUUCCUGUACUUGGUGUUACUGCGAAGGGGGACGGAGAAGGCUAUGUCAGCCGGGCGACGGUUGUCCCGGUUUAAGCAUGUAGGCGGAGGUUCCAGGUAAAUCCGGUACCUUAUUAACGCUGAGGUGUGAUGACGAGGCACUACGGUGCUGAAGUGAUAAAUGCCCUGCUUCCAGGAAAAGCCUCUAAGCAUCAGGUAACACGAAAUCGUACCCCAAACCGACACAGGUGGUCAGGUAGAGAAUACCAAGGCGCUUGAGAGAACUCGGGUGAAGGAACUAGGCAAAAUGGUGCCGUAACUUCGGGAGAAGGCACGCUGAUGUGUAGGUGAAGCCCCUGCGGGCGGAGCUGAAAUCAGUCGAAGAUACCAGCUGGCUGCAACUGUUUAUUAAAAACACAGCACUGUGCAAACACGAAAGUGGACGUAUACGGUGUGACGCCUGCCCGGUGCCGGAAGGUUAAUUGAUGGGGUUAGCGGCAACGCGAAGCUCUUGAUCGAAGCCCCGGUAAACGGCGGCCGUAACUAUAACGGUCCUAAGGUAGCGAAAUUCCUUGUCGGGUAAGUUCCGACCUGCACGAAUGGCGUAAUGAUGGCCAGGCUGUCUCCACCCGAGACUCAGUGAAAUUGAACUCGCUGUGAAGAUGCAGUGUACCCGCGGCAAGACGGAAAGACCCCGUGAACCUUUACUAUAGCUUGACACUGAACACUGGUCCUUGAUGUGUAGGAUAGGUGGGAGGCUUUGAAGCGUGGACGCCAGUCUGCGUGGAGCCAACCUUGAAAUACCACCCUUUAAUGGCUGGUGUUCUAACGUAGACCCGUAAUCCGGGUUGCGGACAGUGUCUGGUGGGUAGUUUGACUGGGGCGGUCUCCUCCCAAAGAGUAACGGAGGAGCACGAAGGUUGGCUAAUCCUGGUCGGACAUCAGGAGGUUAGUGCAAUGGCAUAAGCCAGCUUGACUGCGAGCGUGACGGCGCGAGCAGGUGCGAAAGCAGGUCAUAGUGAUCCGGUGGUUCUGAAUGGAAGGGCCAUCGCUCAACGGAUAAAAGGUACUCCGGGGAUAACAGGCUGAUACCGCCCAAGAGUUCAUAUCGACGGCGGUGUUUGGCACCUCGAUGUCGGCUCAUCACAUCCUGGGGCUGAAGUAGGUCCCAAGGGUAUGGCUGUUCGCCAUUUAAAGUGGUACGCGAGCUGGGUUUAGAACGUCGUGAGACAGUUCGGUCCCUAUCUGCCGUGGGCGCUGGAGAAUUGAGGGGGCUGCUCCUAGUACGAGAGGACCGGAGUGGACGCAUCACUGGUGUUCGGGUUGUCAUGCCAAUGGCACUGCCCGGUAGCUAAAUGCGGAAGAGAUAAGUGCUGAAAGCAUCUAAGCACGAAACUUGCCCCGAGAUGAGUUCUCCCUGAGACUUUAAGUCUCCUGAAGGAACGUUGAAGACGACGACGUUGAUAGGUCGGGUGUGUAAGCGCAGCGAUGCGUUGAGCUAACCGAUACUAAUGAACCGUGAGGCUUAACCUU